AGUGGGCCUCUCCCAGUGAGGAUGCUGCGAAGAAUGUGGAGUACCAGCAGGGCAAGGACAUCAUAUUCAACAGCAGUCAAAAAAACAAGAAGGGUAAUUCCACCAAGGGUACCUCUGCGCCACCAUCUUUCCCACCCCUGACUGCUGCCGAGCAAGCUCAACUCUACAAGAACCUUUCUCAGUGCCACACUCAAGAUGGGAAAUCCUGCAGACCUGCCGUCCUGUCAGUUGUUCCCGGGUAUGCCACAUCUUAUAUACCCAAGGCUGUCAAGCUGGAUUUACCCGAACCCCUCACCAGUUUGUACGACAAGAAGGCAAGAGACCUGAGCCUGGCUGAGCUACAAGAACAGGCAGAAGGAAUAUUUGAUGACUUGGCUGUCACUGAAGAACAGAGUGAUAUUGUAGAGGAGGAGACCCAAGCUCAGUCCAAAUCCAGAAUUUGGUACGAUCAGAGGAGUGGUAGGGUGACAGGAUCUACCUUCAGAGCAGCAACCAGAACAGACAUCAGAAAGCCAGCAGUGUCUCUCAUGAGACAGAUUUGUUACCCAAAGUCCCAUGUUUUCACCAGUGAGGCUACCAGAUGGGGAUGCAAGAAUGAAGAACUGGCCAGAAGUUAUUACGAAAUGCAGCAUCGACUAUCACACACAGAUGUCCUGGUGCGACCAGCCGGAUUCAGAAUUUCUACUCAGCACCCAUUUAUCGGGGCCUCACCUGAUGGGUAUGUGUCCUGUAGCUGCUGUGGCACAGGGGUAAUAGAAAUCAAAUGCCCAUUUUCAGCAAAGGACUUGUCUGUGAGUGAAGCUGUAAAUUCUGGUGGACACUUUUGCCUAGAAAAAAAUGUUGACGGAAAAAUUGAAGUCAAGCGAGACCAUCCAUACUUCUACCAAGUCCAGAUGCAGCUAUUUGUCACAAAAUGUGAUUACUGUGAUUUUAUUCUGUGGACGGAAAAGGAACUCUUUGUAGAACGCAUUGCAUUCGACUCAGAAUUCUUUCAAGUACAACUUGAACUCGCUCGUGCCUUCUUCACAAAAUGUAUUAUCCCAGAGUUGUUAGGAAAAUGGUUUUCUGCACCUAAACAACCAACUGCUGACUCCGAUCCCCAGCAACAGUGGUGCUACUGCCGUGCACCUGUGGCAGGGAACAUGCUCGUUUGUGCCUCAGGGUUCUGUGCCGUGAAGAGGUUCCACCAAACCUGCCUCCAGCUGAAAAGGGUACCAAAACAGUGGCUGUGUCCAAGCUGUAGGAAACUACGCAAUGCCCAAAAAAAACCUUAAUUACUUAGUCUUACUAACUUGUUCCUAUGUACUCAUGGUUGCACAGUAAGAAGAUAAUAAAAAGAAUUGUAUGUGUAAUAGCUGUGUCCUCCUUUAUCAUCCAGAACAUGUCGGGGAAAAUUGUGUUUUAACAUCUGGGUUGUCUCACCCUUUAAUGAGACUAGCAUACCGGUAGUCACCUUUUGAAACCUGAUUGAGUAAAAGGUUGAAAUCUUGGUAAACGCAAUGCCACAAUGUUGUUCUCUUCUGUCUGUAGUAGUAUCUGUGACGAGCAUAAAACAUGGAUAGAUCACUCAAAUCUAGUGUGUGAGAAAAGUAGUCACAACAAACAAGUGAGAAGCCAUCAUAAAAGGUUUAUUUUCUGUUGGCACACAAAUUCACUCAAAGGGCACCACAGAAUCUGGUACAUUUGUUAGUGCACAACA